rnacentral:rRNA from 1 species
UGAGUACAAGAUGCUACGGCAUUGAAGCAGUCUAUGUCAUACUUCCAAGAAAAGCUUGCAAUGUCAUAAACAAAUAAUGCCUGUACCAUAACCGACACAGGUGGGUAGGUAGAGUAUACUAAGGGGCGCGAGAUAACUCUCUCUAAGGAACUCGGCAAAAUGACUCCGUAACUUCGGGAGAAGGAGUACCUUAUUUUAUAAGGUUGCAAUAACAAGGUCCAAGCAACUGUUUACCAAAAACACAGGUCUCCGCUAAGUCGUAAGACGAUGUAUGGGGGCUGACGCCUGCCCAGUGCCAGAAGGUUAAAGAAGUUGGUUAGCAUUAGCGAAGCUGAUAACUGAAGCCCUGGUGAACGGCGGCCGUAACCAUAACGGUCCUAAGGUAGCGAAAUUCCUUGUCGGGUAAGUUCCGACCCGCACGAAAGGCGUAAUGAUUUGGAUACUGUCUCGGAGAGGGGCUCGGUGAAAUAGACUUGUCUGUGAAGAUGCGGACUACCUGCACCUGGACAGAAAGACCCUAUGAAGCUUUACUGUAACUUGAGAUUGAAAUUGGACUUUAUUUGCGCAGUAUAGGUGGGAGACCUCGAAAGUAUUCUUGCGGGAAUAUUGGAGUCAUCAGUGAGAUACCACUCUUAUAAUGUUAGAUUUCUAACUUUGUAUCAUUAUCUGGUCAAAGAACAGUUUCAGGCGGGCAGUUUGACUGGGGCGGUCGCCUCCCAAAUGGUAACGGGGGCGCACAAAGGUUUCCUCUGAACGUGUAGAAAUCGUAUCUAGAGUGUAAAGGCAUAAGGAAGCUUGACUGUGAGACCUACAAGUCGAGCAGGGACGAAAGUCGGUCUUAGUGAUCUGACGGUGCUGAGUGGAAAGGCCGUCACUCAACGGAUAAAAGUUACUCUAGGAUAACAGGCUGAUCUCCCCCAAGAGUUCACAUCGACGGGGAGGUUUGGCACCUCGAUGUCGGCUCAUCGCAUCCUGGGGCGGUAGUACGUCCCAAGGGUUGGGCUGUUCGCCCAUGAAAGCGGUACGCGAGCUGGGUUCAGAACGUCGUGAGACAGUUCGGUCCAUAUCCGGUGUAGGCGUUAGAAUAUUGAGAGGAGCCUUCUUUAGUACGAGAGGACCGAGAAGGACAUACCUCUGGUGUACCAGUUAUCGUGCCAACGGUAAACGCUGGGUAGCUAUGUAUGGAGAGGAUAACCGCUGAAAGCAUCUAAGUGGGAAGCCCACCUCAAGAUAAGUA